UACGUAGGGGGCUAGCGUUGUCCGGAAUCAUUGGGCGUAAAGAGCGUGUAGGCGGCCAGGUAGGUCGGUUGUGAAAACUGGAGGCUCAACCUUCAGAGGUCGACCGAAACCACCUGGCUAGAGUCCGGGAGAGGAGAGUGGAAUUCCUGGUGUAGCGGUGAAAUGCGCAGAUAUCAGGAAGAACCCCCGUGGCGAAAGCGGCUCUCUGGAACGGUACUGACGCUGAGACGCGAAAGCGUGGGGAGCGAACAGG
rnacentral:rRNA from 1 species